UAGUCCACGCUGUAAACGAUGUUCACUCGCUGUUUGCGAUACACAGUAAGCGGCUGAGCGAAAGCAUUAAGUGAACCACCUGGGGAGUACGAUCGCAAGGUUGAAACUCAAAGGAAUUGACGGGGGCCCGCACAAGCGGAGGAACAUGUGGUUUAAUUCGAUGAUACGCGAGGAACCUUACCUGGGCUUAAAUGUAGAUUGCAUUUCUGAGAAAUCGGGAUUCCCUUCGGGGCUAUUUACAAGGUGCUGCAUGGUUGUCGUCAGCUCGUGCCGUGAGGUGUCGGGUUAAGUCCCAUAACGAGCGCAACCCCUAUCGUUAGUUGCCAGCGGGUCAAGCCGGGGACUCUAGCGAGACUGCCACCGUAAGGUGAGAGGAAGGUGGGGAUGACGUCAAAUCAGCACGGGCCCUUAUGUCCAGGGGCUACACACGUGUUACAAUGGGCCGAUACAAAGGGGCAGGCUACUUCGCGAGAAGAUGCUAAUCUCU
rnacentral:rRNA from 1 species